AUUGAACGCUGGCGGCAGGCCUAACACAUGCAAGUCGAGCGCGAAAGUCUUCGGAUGAGUAAAGCGGCGGACGGGUGAGUAAUGCAUGGGAAUCUGCCUGGUAGUGGGGACAACGUUUCGAAAGAGACGCUAAUACCGCAUACGCCCUACGGGGAAAGGGGGGAUCUUCGGACCUCUCGCUAUCAGAUGAGCCCAUGUCAGAUUAGCUAGUUGGUAGGGUAAAGGCCUACCAAGGCGACGAUCUGUAACUGGUCUGAGAGGAUGAUCAGUCACACUGGAACUGAGACACGGUCCAGACUCCUACGGGAGGCAGCAGUGGGGAAUAUUGGACAAUGGGGGCAACCCUGAUCCAGCCAUGCCGCGUGUGUGAUGAAGGCCUUAGGGUUGUAAAGCUCUUUUGCCAGGGAAGAUGAUGACUGUACCUGGAGAAUAA
rnacentral:rRNA from 1 species